rnacentral:rRNA from 1 species
GAUGAACGCUGGCGGCGUGCCUAAUACAUGCAAGUCGAGCGAACGGACGAGAAGCUUGCUUCUCUGAUGUUAGCGGCGGACGGGUGAGUAACACGUGGAUAACCUACCUAUAAGACUGGGAUAACUUCGGGAAACCGGAGCUAAUACCGGAUAAUAUUUUGAACCGCAUGGUUCAAAAGUGAAAGACGGUCUUGCUGUCACUUAUAGAUGGAUCCGCGCUGCAUUAGCUAGUUGGUAAGGUAACGGCUUACCAAGGCAACGAUGCAUAGCCGACCUGAGAGGGUGAUCGGCCACACUGGAACUGAGGCACGGUCCAGACUCCUACGGGAGGCAGCAGUAGGGAAUCUUCCGCAAUGGGCGAAAGCCCGACGGAGCAACGCCGCGUGAGUGAUGAAGGUCUUCGGAUCGUAAAACUCUGUUAUUAGGGAAGAACAUAUGUGUAAGUAACUGUGCACAUCUUGACGGUACCUAAUCAGAAAGCCACGGCUAACUACGUG